rnacentral:rRNA from 1 species
GACGAACGCUGGCGGCGUGCUUAAUACAUGCAAGUCGAACGGAAAGGCCCUUCGGGGUCUUCGAGUGGGUAACGGGUGGGUGACACGUGGGUAAUCUGCUCUGCUAUUUGGGAUACUCGUGGGACACUGGGACUCAUAACCUAUAGCCGGAUACUAUUUUUGGCGUGUGGGUGAAAGCUUUUGCGGCGUGGGAGGGGUCCGCGGCCUAUCAGCUUGCUGGUGGGGUAAUGGCCUACAAAGGCAACGCCGGGUAGCCGGCCUGGGAGGGUCACCCGGCACACUGGGACUGAGAUACGGCCCAGACUCCUACGGGAGGCAGCAGUGGAGAAUAUUGCACAAUGGGCGCAAGCCUGAUGCAGCGACGCCGCGUGAGGGAUGACGGCCUUCGGGUUGUAAACCUCUGUCAAUAGGGACGAAGCGCAAGUGACGGUACCUAUAGAAGAAGCACCGGCCAACUACGUG